AUGGGGAGUGGGAAGAAGAGGGCGGCGCUUGCGUCCCUGUUCGGGUUCAAGAACAAGAGACAGGAGGAGGAAGAGGCCGCGGCCGCGGCCGCGAGGCGGCAGCAGCAGCAUGCGGCGGCAGCGCCGCAGCAGAGGUACCAGCAUCACAGGCUGCGGCCGAGCGACGACGACGACUACGCCCGGCACUGGUACGCCGAACGCGACAUCGACCGGAAGGCCUCCGAGUUCAUCGACAAGGUCCACCGCCGGAUGCUCGCCAACGAGCAGGACGGAUAG
rnacentral:rRNA from 1 species